rnacentral:rRNA from 1 species
CUGUGAGCUCGAUGAGUAGGGCGGGACACGUGGUAUCCUGUCUGAAUAUGGGGGGACCAUCCUCCAAGGCUAAAUACUCCUGACUGACCGAUAGUGAACCAGUACCGUGAGGGAAAGGCGAAAAGAACCCCGGCGAGGGGAGUGAAAAAGAACCUGAAACCGUGUACGUACAAGCAGUGGGAGCACGCUUCGGCGUGUGACUGCGUACCUUUUGUAUAAUGGGUCAGCGACUUAUAUUCUGUAGCAAGGUUAACCGAAUAGGGGAGCCGAAGGGAAACCGAGUCUUAACUGGGCGUUAAGUUGCAGGGUAUAGACCCGAAACCCGGUGAUCUAGCCAUGGGCAGGUUGAAGGUUGGGUAACACUAACUGGAGGACCGAACCGACUAAUGUUGAAAAAUUAGCGGAUGACUUGUGGCUGGGGGUGAAAGGCCAAUCAAACCGGGAGAUAGCUGGUUCUCCCCGAAAGCUAUUUAGGUAGCGCCUCGUGAAUUCAUCUCCGGGGGUAGAGCACUGUUUCGGCAAGGGGGUCAUCCCGACUUACCAACCCGAUGCAAACUGCGAAUACCGGAGAAUGUUAUCACGGGAGACACACGGCGGGUGCUAACGUCCGUCGUGAAGAGGGAAACAACCCAGACCGCCAGCUAAGGUCCCAAAGUCAUGGUUAAGUGGGAAACGAUGUGGGAAGGCCCAGACAGCCAGGAUGUUGGCUUAGAAGCAGCCAUCAUUUAAAGAAAGCGUAAUAGCUCACUGGUCGAGUCGGCCUGCGCGGAAGAUGUAACGGGGCUAAACCAUGCACCGAAGCUGCGGCAGCGACACUAUGUGUUGUUGGGUA